UACGUAGGGUGCAAGCGUUAAUCGGAAUUACUGGGCGUAAAGCGUGCGCAGGCGGUUUUGUAAGUCAGAUGUGAAAUCCCCGGGCUUAACCUGGGAACUGCGUUUGAAACUACAAGGCUAGAGUGUGGCAGAGGGGGGUGGAAUUCCACGUGUAGCAGUGAAAUGCGUAGAUAUCUGGAGGAACACCGGUGGCGAAGGCGGCAUCCUGGACCAUUACUGACGCUGAGUGAGCGAAAGCCAGGGGAGCAAACGGG
rnacentral:rRNA from 1 species